rfam:Schistosoma curassoni strain Dakar, Senegal genome assembly, scaffold: SCTD_scaffold0000013
GUCUGGCUGACGAGUCCCAAAUAGGACGAAACGCGCGUCCUGGAU